rnacentral:rRNA from 1 species
UAGGGAAUCUUCGGCAAUGGACGAAAGUCUGACCGAGCAACGCCGCGUGAGUGAAGAAGGUUUUCGGAUCGUAAAACUCUGUUGUUAGAGAAGAACAAGGACGUUAGUAACUGAACGUCCCCUGACGGUAUCUAACCAGAAAGCCACGGCUAACUACGUGCCAGCAGCCGCGGUAAUACGUAGGUGGCAAGCGUUGUCCGGAUUUAUUGGGCGUAAAGCGAGCGCAGGCGGUUUCUUAAGUCUGAUGUGAAAGCCCCCGGCUCAACCGGGGAGGGUCAUUGGAAACUGGGAGACUUGAGUGCAGAAGAGGAGAGUGGAAUUCCAUGUGUAGCGGUGAAAUGCGUAGUUAUAUGGAGGAACACCAGUGGCGAAGGCGGCUCUCUGGUCUGUAACUGACGCGGAGGCUCGAAAGCGUGGGGAGCAAACAGG